rnacentral:rRNA from 1 species
AAAUUGAAGAGUUUGAUCAUGGCUCAGAUUGAACGCUGGCGGCAGGCCUAACACAUGCAAGUCGAACGGUAACAGGAAGCAGCUUGCUGCUUCGCUGACGAGUGGCGGACGGGUGAGUAAUGUCUGGGAAACUGCCUGAUGGAGGGGGAUAACUACUGGAAACGGUAGCUAAUACCGCAUAACGUCGCAAGACCAAAGAGGGGGAUCUUCGGACCUCUUGCCAUCGGAUGUGCCCAGAUGGGAUUAGCUAGUAGGUGGGGUAACGGCUCACCUAGGCGACGAUCCCUAGCUGGUCUGAGAGGAUGACCAGCCACACUGGAACUGAGACACGGUCCAGACUCCUACGGGAGGCAGCAGUGGGGAAUAUUGCACAAUGGGCGCAAGCCUGAUGCAGCCAUGCCGCGUGUAUGAAGAAGGCCUUCGGGUUGUAAAGUACUUUCAGCGGGGAGGAAGGG